UUAAAUUGAAGAGUUUGAUCAUGGCUCAGAUUGAACGCUGGCGGCAGGCCUAACACAUGCAAGUCGAACGGUAACAGAAAGCAGCUUGCUGCUUUGCUGACGAGUGGCGGACGGGUGAGUAAUGUCUGGGAAACUGCCUGAUGGAGGGGGAUAACUACUGGAAACGGUAGCUAAUACCGCAUAAUGUCGCAAGACCAAAGAGGGGGACCUUCGGGCCUCUUGCCAUCGGAUGUGCCCAGAUGGGAUUAGCUAGUAGGUGGGGUAACGGCUCACCUAGGCGACGAUCCCUAGCUGGUCUGAGAGGAUGACCAGCCACACUGGAACUGAGACACGGUCCAGACUCCUACGGGAGGCAGCAGUGGGGAAUAUUGCACAAUGGGCGCAAGCCUGAUGCAGCCAUGCCGCGUGUAUGAAGAAGGCCUUCGGGUUGUAAAGUACUUUCAGCGGGGAGGAAGGGAGUAAAGUUAAUACCUUUGCUCAUUGACGUUACCCGCAGAAGAAGCACCGGCUAACUCCGUGCCAGCAGCCGCGGUAAUACGGAGGGUGCAAGCGUUAAUCGGAAUUACUGGGCGUAAAGCGCACGCAGGCGGUUUGUUAAGUCAGAUGUGAAAUCCCCGGGCUCAACCUGGGAACUGCAUCUGAUACUGGCAAGCUUGAGUCUCGUAGAGGGGGGUAGAAUUCCAGGUGUAGCGGUGAAAUGCGUAGAGAUCUGGAGGAAUACCGGUGGCGAAGGCGGCCCCCUGGACGAAGACUGACGCUCAGGUGCGAAAGCGUGGGGAGCAAACAGGAUUAGAUACCCUGGUAGUCCACGCCGUAAACGAUGUCGACUUGGAGGUUGUGCCCUUGAGGCGUGGCUUCCGGAGCUAACGCGUUAAGUCGACCGCCUGGGGAGUACGGCCGCAAGGUUAAAACUCAAAUGAAUUGACGGGGGCCCGCACAAGCGGUGGAGCAUGUGGUUUAAUUCGAUGCAACGCGAAGAACCUUACCUGGUCUUGACAUCCACGGAAGUUUUCAGAGAUGAGAAUGUGCCUUCGGGAACCGUGAGACAGGUGCUGCAUGGCUGUCGUCAGCUCGUGUUGUGAAAUGUUGGGUUAAGUCCCGCAACGAGCGCAACCCUUAUCCUUUGUUGCCAGCGGUCCGGCCGGGAACUCAAAGGAGACUGCCAGUGAUAAACUGGAGGAAGGUGGGGAUGACGUCAAGUCAUCAUGGCCCUUACGACCAGGGCUACACACGUGCUACAAUGGCGCAUACAAAGAGAAGCGACCUCGCGAGAGCAAGCGGACCUCAUAAAGUGCGUCGUAGUCCGGAUUGGAGUCUGCAACUCGACUCCAUGAAGUCGGAAUCGCUAGUAAUCGUGGAUCAGAAUGCCACGGUGAAUACGUUCCCGGGCCUUGUACACACCGCCCGUCACACCAUGGGAGUGGGUUGCAAAAGAAGUAGGUAGCUUAACCUUCGGGAGGGCGCUUACCACUUUGUGAUUCAUGACUGGGGUGAAGUCGUAACAAGGUAACCGUAGGGGAACCUGCGGUUGGAUCACCUCCUUACCUUAAAGAAGC
rnacentral:rRNA from 1 species